GCCAGGGUGGCUCAGUUGGUUGGGCAUCUGACUUUGGCUCAGGUCAUGAUCUUGUGGUUAGUGGGUUCGAGCCCUGCAUCAGGCU
rnacentral:tRNA from 1 species